UAACGCGUGGGUAACCUGCCUCNUACAGGGGGAUAACAGUUAGAAAUGACUGCUAAUACCGCAUAAGACCACGGAGCCGCAUGGCUCAGUGGGAAAAACUCCGGUGGUAUGAGAUGGACCCGCGUCUGAUUAGGUAGUUGGUGGGGUAACGGCCUACCAAGCCAACGAUCAGUAGCCGACCUGAGAGGGUGACCGGCCACAUUGGGACUGAGACACGGCCCAAACUCCUACGGGAGGCAGCAGUGGGGAAUAUUGCACAAUGGGGGAAACCCUGAUGCAGCGACGCCGCGUGAGCGAAGAAGUAUUUCGGUAUGUAAAGCUCUAUCAGCAGGGAAGAAAAUGACGGUACCUGACUAAGAAGCACCGGCUAAAUACGUGCCAGCAGCCGCGGUAAUACGUAUGGUGCAAGCGUUAUCCGGAUUUACUGGGUGUAAAGGGAGCGUAGACGGCUGUGUAAGUCUGAAGUGAAAGCCCGGGGCUCAACCCCGGGACUGCUUUGGAAACUAUGCAGCUAGAGUGUCGGAGAGGUAAGUGGAAUUCCCAGUGUAGCGGUGAAAUGCGUAGAUAUUGGGAGGAACACCAGUGGCGAAGGCGGCUUACUGGACGAUGACUGACGUUGAGGCUCGAAAGCGUGGGGGAGCAAACAGGAUUAGAUACCCUGGUAGUCCACGCCGUAAACGAUGACUACUAGGUGU
rnacentral:rRNA from 1 species